rnacentral:misc_RNA from 1 species
GAUGAAGAACGUAGCGAAAUGCGAUACGUAAUGUGAAUUGCAGAAUUCAGUGAAUCAUCGAGUCUUUGAACGCACAUUGCGCCCCCUGGUAUUCCGGGGGGCAUGCCUGUCCGAGCGUCAUUGCUGCCCUCAAGCACGGCUUGUGUGUUGGGCGACGUCCUCUUUGGGGACGCGCCUCGAAACGCUCGGCGGCGUGGCACCGGCUUUAAGCGUAGCAGAAUCUUUCGCUUUGGAAGUCGGGGCCCCGUCUGCCGGAAGACCUGCUCGCAAGGUUGACCUCGGAUCAGGCAGGGAUACCCGCUGAACUUAAGCAUAUCAAUAAGCGGAGGA